UAGUGGCGAACGGGUGAGUAACACGUGGGCAAUCUGCCCUUCACUCUGGGACAAGCCCUGGAAACGGGGUCUAAUACCGGAUACGAGCCUCCUGGGCAUCUGGGAGGUUGGAAAGCUCCGGCGGUGAAGGAUGAGCCCGCGGCCUAUCAGCUUGUUGGUGAGGUAACGGCUCACCAAGGCGACGACGGGUAGCCGGCCUGAGAGGGCGACCGGCCACACUGGGACUGAGACACGGCCCAGACUCCUACGGGAGGCAGCAGUGGGGAAUAUUGCACAAUGGGCGAAAGCCUGAUGCAGCGACGCCGCGUGAGGGAUGACGGCCUUCGGGUUGUAAACCUCUUUCAGCAGGGAAGAAGCGAGAGUGACGGUACCUGCAGAAGAAGCGCCGGCUAACUACGUGCCAGCAGCCGCGGUAAUACGUAGGGCGCAAGCGUUGUCCGGAAUUAUUGGGCGUAAAGAGCUCGUAGGCGGCUUGUCACGUCGAUUGUGAAAGCCCGAGGCUUAACCUCGGGUCUGCAGUCGAUACGGGCUAGCUAGAGUGUGGUAGGGGAGAUCGGAAUUCCU
rnacentral:rRNA from 1 species